rnacentral:lncRNA from 10 species
GGAGAAGCCUGGUUUGAGUGAGUUUUUCCUGAAGCAAAAGGGAAGAGCUUAAUUUCAAAAGGAAUAUCUUGAAAGACGCAUCAACUCACCAUUAGAAAACAUGAAACGACAGAUUAUAUCCUAAGAUUGUGUGAACCUCUUACCUGGAAACCCGUACAAUUGCUUUAUCUACCAAUCCUAAACUAUUAUAUCUUGAUCUUUACUCAAUCCUAAUUACACACCCACAUUGAAAGACCUAUCUUAAUUCAGACUUCAAAAUCUUACAAACGUCCAAGUCCCUCCUUUGAAAUGCUACUAAGACUGCAGUAAGAAUACAUAGCAUGCAGUGACUGAGAGGAAGAGAGAUACUAACACUUGAAGUAAUCCAGUCUAUCAAUAGGAGAUGGACUGCUUUGAUUUAAAGCGAUUUACAAAAGGAUUUGGAUACCUCAUCUCUCCUGUUUCGCCAAGGUCUUGACUCAUCGCUGCAGAUGACUAAAUCCCAUUGAGCUAAAUCUCCU